rnacentral:rRNA from 1 species
UACGUAGGGUGCAAGCGUUAAUCGGAAUUACUGGGCGUAAAGCGUGCGCAGGCGGUUAUGUAAGACAGGUGUGAAAUCCCCGGGCUUAACCUGGGAACUGCAUUUGUGACUGGCAAGCUAGAGUAUGGCAGAGGGGGGUAGAAUUCCACGUGUAGCAGUGAAAUGCGUAGAGAUGUGGAGGAAUACCGAUGGCGAAGGCAGCCCCCUGGGCCAAUACUGACGCUCAUGCACGAAAGCGUGGGGAGCAAAUAGG